rnacentral:rRNA from 1 species
AGUGAACGCUGGCGGUAGGCCUAACACAUGCAAGUCGAGCGGCAGCACAGGAGAGCUUGCUCUCUGGGUGGCGAGUGGCGGACGGGUGAGGAAUACAUCGGAAUCUACUCUGUCGUGGGGGAUAACGUAGGGAAACUUACGCUAAUACCGCAUACGACCUACGGGUGAAAGCAGGGGAUCUUCGGAACUUGCGCGAUUGAAUGAGCCGAUGUCGGAUUAGCUAGUUGGCGGGGUAAAGGCCCACCAAGGCGACGAUCCGUAGCUGGUGUGAGAGGAUGAUCAGCCACACUGGAACUGAGACACGGUCCAGACUCCUACGGGAGGCAGCAGUGGGGAAUAUUGGACAAUGGGCGCAAGCCUGAUCCAGCCAUACCGCGUGGGUGAAGAAGGCCUUCGGGUUGUAAAGCCCUUUUGUUGGGAAAGAAAUCCAGCUGGUUAAUACCCGGUUGGGAUGACGGUACCCAAAGAAUAAGCACCGGCUAACUUCGUGCCAGCAGCCGCCGUAA